UGACGAUGGAGUUGACGGGAACAUUCGCACAGAAGAGGAAUUUGUGAGGAUUCUGAACCACUCAUUGAGGCCGUGGAGUGUGUUGUUUAAUGAGUAAUACAGCUAACUGCAGUGUUCCACAAGACUGUUACCAGACCUUCAUGGGACCUUUCCGUUCUUUCUGGGUUGUCUUGAGGUUCUUCAGCGUUAGAGAGCAACUGAAAACAGGACACAGACCCAACCAGAGGACAACAACUCUACAUUGACUCAGAGGAAUCCUCCAGGACGACGACACAAACCAAAACCACUGCACAACUCUACAUCAACUCCCACACUUUCCA